rnacentral:misc_RNA from 1 species
GAAAUUGCGAGUUGUUUUCUUCCUCAGAAACAAGUUGGUGCAACAAUUUUAUCGGAGUCGGAGAUCAACAGGUCAAGUGAUGAUAACAGUGCUACCAAAAAUAAACCUGUUCUUGAGGAGUUAGGUAUUCUAUAUGCUCACCGUAAUGAGGACAUAAUCAAUUGUCGACCUGGCGUCAGAAAGAGCAAGGAAGAAAGCAUCUCAAAAAUUGUUAGCUUGACUGCCCCUGCUAAGAGAAGGAAAUCAGAUGAUGGAGGUGAGAAAGAAAAUGCCUCGUCAUCCAAGGAUCAGAAAAAGAUCCAAUAUAGCCUCCUUGCAGAAUUCAUGGGUAUGGGAGAGGUUGAAUUUAGCAAGUGGGUACUAUCUGCAACUCCUGGAGAAAAGGAGAACGUGCUUCAACAAUUUACGAAGAGAAAGAAGGUACCCAAUGGUUGAAGGAUAGUCUUCUCGCAGAAUGUUAAGAAAAAACUGUAUAGUACAUAUUCUAUUUGUUUUUAACUUUAGCUCUAUGUAUAUCCGAUUCAUUGUAUAGUUACUGUAGUAUUAUAACCCUUCUACUAGCUUGAGAAAUAGGCAUCCAGUGGUGAUUCCAAUGUAAAUGUAUUUCAUCAUAGUUUCAAGCCGUUUAGCUUGUUUGAGUUACAUUUCAUCUUUAUGACUUGAAUUUCUAUAGCUUUUAUAUGA